rnacentral:rRNA from 1 species
GUGCCAGCCGCGCGGUAAUACCGGCAGCCCGAGUGAUGGCCGAUCUUCUUGGGCCUAAAGCGUCCGUAGCUGGGUCUGAAAGUCCAUCGGGAAAUCCACUCGCUCAACGAGUGGCCGUCCGGUGGAAACUCUACACCUUGGGACCGGAAGGCUCGAAGGGUACGGCCGGGGUAGGAGUGAAAUCCUGUAAUCCCGUCCGGACCACCGAUGGCGAAAGCACUACGAGAAAACGGAUCCGACAGUGAGGGACGAAGGCUAAGAUCGCGAACCGGAUGAGAAACCGAGUAGUCC